CGCCUACCCACCAUCCGAACAUGCCGAAUAUAGACUUGACGACUUCGGAAUAUUUCGGCUAUUUCCGGAAAACUGGAGCAAUUCCUCCAUAACCGGUCAUGUGGACAUUGGGCGAUACUGGACCGUUGAUUCGUAGAGUAGACCAUAAUACAGUGCAUGCCGGAAUCAAUUAGUUAGCGCGUUGUUUUCGAACUUGGAACGCUGCAUCCAGAUGGAAUGAGCGUGGAUUUUUCCGCGUUCUUUCAGAACUGAAUCUGCUUGCCCUGACGAAGGUACUCAGUUACCGAAAGCUCGGCAAUCACAUAUUUCAAUUCAGAGCACUGAUUUUAUCGAUAAAUUCUUGUCAACAUCACAACACGUGAGUGCGGUGGUACACGUGAUACUGAUGAGCGCAUAUCUGUAUGUGACUAGUGUCAGGAAUCGCUGGCAUACGUACGUGAUAUGGUAUUCGGAAAUGGUCCAGCAAAACAUGGCAAUGUAAACACACUGUAUACUCCUCAGUGUGAAGUGGCCAACUUGGUCUGGAAUCAACUCGCUCCGAGUCAACUCCGUCUCAGGUCAACUUGGUCACAUGUCAACUUGGUCUCAUCAACUCUUGAAGGCAGGCACUUGGCUGCAGCAUAAAUAAAAAUCUUGGUCCCAAGUCAACUUGGUCUUGUCAACCCUGGAAGGCAGGCACUUGGCUGCAGCAUGAAUAAAAAUCUUCCAAGCAAGUUUUGACACACUUCAGCAUACCUGUAUUAAACAAAGAGGUUUGGCAGGGAUGCAUGAGGAAAGUCUAGAAAACGUGGACUAGUCAUACCUCCGGAUACUUGGCCCUAUACUCCUUAACUAGAAACAAGUGGAGGAAGGCUUAAACAUUGGGAUAAAGCUCCCCGGCUGUGAAUGGUAUCAGCCACAUACAGAUCUUCACUGGCAGUGAACAUGUGCAACUCCAGACACCAGCAGUUGUGGUGAUCUCUGAGGACGCUAAUUACUGCACACCACAUUAGGUCUGCCUUGUUAUCUAAUGCACCCUACCGGUAUACGCCUGCAUUGCAUUGGCACAUUUUGAUGCUGGACUCCACACCUGCAUACACAUCUGGCAGCUGGCAAUCAGGUCCAAGCAAGACGGUCGGAUUGUGGAAUCAAAGCGAGGGCCAGCAGUCUGCAACCUUCAGAAGAGGACCCUGCUAACUUACUGUGGCUGUGCGGAAGUCUUCCGCGACCCUUUUCGGCCUGUUAGUUUUACAGGCAAUUGUGUGCAAGAGGAUGGAAGCAGAGAUGGUAGUGAGAGUGGAAGAAACGUGCUGUCCAUCCAGGAGAAGUCUGUCUUCUGCAGUGACUGUAAGUUGUCUUUAAGUAU